rnacentral:lncRNA from 1 species
ACGCAAUCAAAUUGAUUGAGGAUUCACGCAUUCCCCCAUCCCCAUAGCCCAUGCUCGCAGCAGCCGCACCUGACGCCGGCAGACCCUUCCCUUCCCUUUGCCUUGGCAAUAUUCUAGCGGUACCUGCUCCUCCUUGAUGAUGAUAUUCAAAUAAAGCAAUCUCAUGUCCUGGCUGCAUAGAUAGAAGCGAAGGGAAGAGGACCUUCAUCAGCACACAGGCAGGCAGGUAGGUAGCGCGCAACAUUCCUUAAUCCUUGCCUCAAUCUCAUUUUCAGCCGAAUGAAAAUAUGUCUACGACUGAUUCCACUCCUGCGAGUGUUUCUCAAGCGGAUCAAAACGAAAGGAUUACGGUAAAAAUGUUGUUUUCUAACCAUUCUUCGCCGUGUUUAUUGUUCUAUUGUUCCCACUGUUUGUUUGCCUGCUGUCUGCCGAGGAGAGUAGCAGCAGCAUCGGCAUCAGCAUCAGCGGCAGCGGCACUGGAAGUGGGUGUAGGAGUAGGAGUACGAGGCAGGAGUAGGAGAGGGAUACAACACCGAAGCGUAGUUUGUAGGCGUCAGAGGCGGAACUGAACGUCGGAACGUUGAAUAUUGCUUCAUUUCAUUUGCUUGUCAGCCAAGUGAGAAUUGCGAGAAAUGGAAAGGAGCAACAACAGCAGCAGCAGCAGCAGCAGCAGCAGCAGCCGCCACAGGAAGAGGCAAGGCGAGAGGCAGAGGCCACAUAGCGGUUAUUGCACUACCCUGUAGAAUUGUGGGUGUUAUGAUUAUGAUCAGAUUUUUGCAAAUAGGAAAUGCAACUUAUGCACAUAAUAAAAGUAUGAAAUUGUAAGUUCUAC